rnacentral:rRNA from 1 species
GGAGCAUUGUAGUUGUGUUGAAGGAUGACUGUGAGGUUUUCUGGAACGGCUACAAAAGAAAAUGUAGGCAUAAGUAACGAUAAUGCGGGCGAGAAACCCGCACACCGAAAGACUAAGGUUUCCUCAGCUAUGCUAAUCAGCUGAGGGUUAGUCGGGGCCUAACGCGAACCCGAAGGGGGUAGUGGAUGGACAACAGGUUAAUAUUCCUGUACUUCUUAUAAUUGCGAUGGGGUGACGGAGUAUUGAAAGCACCGCGUACUGACGGAAUAGUACGUUGAAGCAAGUGGUAACACUUACGAUAGUACACUAAGGCUACGGCUGCGGUGAUAAUCCAGCGAAUCGACUUCCAAGAAAAGCAAGUGAAGCAGCCCGUACCGCAAACCGACACAGGUAGUUGGGAUGAGAAUUCUAAGGUGCUCGAGAGAUUCAUGGCUAAGGAACUAGGCAAAAUCGACGCGUAACUUCGGGAGAAGCGUCGCCCAUCUUCGGAUGGGCCGCAGUGAAAAGGUCCAGGCGACUGUUUAUCAAAAACACAGGGCUUUGCUAAAUUGAAAGAUGAUGUAUAAGGCCUGACACCUGCCCGGUGCUGGAAGGUUAAAGAAGGGGGUUAGC